UUGAAGAGUGGAAAAGAUAAUAAAAUUCUGUGUAACUAAAAAAAAAAAAGGUUAUAAAGAUAUUCUAGGAGAGAAGGGAAAGGAUGCUUUAUGGUUAUCAGAUGGAUACUAACCACAGAAACACAGAGGAGAAUCAUUAGAAGCAGAAAUAGGAAACAACAGAAUGCAGACAGCGUUGCCUGUUCUGACUCUUCUCUCAAUAGCUUCAUAACUUGGGUGGUGUGGAGCUCUUAGGAGAAAUCAGAGCUGAUGAAACUAUCAUAGGAAGUUCCACACAAACAUGCAGAAGAACCUUUUCAUGGUAAGGGUGACAGAGCACUGGGACAGGUUGUCCAGAGAUGUUGUGGAGUC
rnacentral:lncRNA from 1 species